UGGGGAAUUUUGGACAAUGGGCGCAAGCCUGAUCCAGCCAUGCCGCGUGAGUGAAGAAGGCCUUCGGGUUGUAAAGCUCUUUCAGACGGAAAGAAAUCGCGCGCUCUAACAUAGCGCGUGGAUGACGGUACCGUAAGAAGAAGCACCGGCUAACUCCGUGCCAGCAGCCGCGGUAAUACGGAGGGUGCAAGCGUUACUCGGAAUCACUGGGCGUAAAGCGUGCGCAAGCGGUUCCAUAAGACAGAUGUGAAAUCCCCGGGCUCAACCUGGGAACUGCAUUUGUGACUGUGGAGCUAGAGUACGGUAGAGGGGGAUGGAAUUCCGCGUGUAGCAGUGAAAUGCGUAGAGAUGUGGAGGAACACCGAUGGCGAAGGCAGCCUCCUGGGCCAGUACUGACGCU
rnacentral:rRNA from 1 species